rnacentral:lncRNA from 1 species
CCAAAUUCACACCACAGCAACACUACACCACCAGGAACUCGAAUAUACUAACCAAUUAGACCGAAGAUCCAUAAAUCGGCCGGAAAACCAAGUCAAAGGUUCGUCUCCGGCGAACCUUAUAAUUUCCGAUCAACUCGAAAACAAACUCCUCCACCCUCAGUGAUCACAUACGAACGCUCCUCACAACCAUACAAACACAGUGGUAACCUCUGAUUUUUCCCAGAUUUAACGGAUCGAAAAUCCGGCCAAAACUCAAACUUUUCCGGCAACAAGCUCAAGAACACCAAGAACACUCAAUACUCAAAAUCAAACCACUGUUUCUAUAUGAUUCCGAACUCCAAAUUCGACAUAUAAUAUACCAAAACGACGAGAAAAACACGCUCUACAACAUGGCAUCAUCAAAUCAAUCAAAAACAAUCAUCUACGAAAAUUCAUCAUUUAAAAACAAAUAAUUCGAAUCUUAAAACUUCAAUUACUCCCUACCUGUGAAUCUCAUGUUGUUUUUGAUGAUUGAUUUGGGUUCUACUCGAGCUUCGUUUUGACUAUUCAUACGCCUCCAUCGGAUUCCAAUAACACCUCCAAAUCCUCGUUUGAUUACGAAGAACACGAAGAACACACUUCGGUUUCUCUCGGUAUUCGUGAAAAGAAACUGGUGAAAUGAUUUUACGGUUGAAAAUAAGCUCUAGAAGGGUCUAUUUAUAUUUACAAAUAAUUGGUACCCCUUUGGAUCGUUUAUGACAUGAAAAUACGUAUUUAAUAGCUUUAUAUUAAUAAAGCGGGGUCCAAUCGGUACCGGUUUUCGAGAUAAUCAUCAAAACGGGGCUUUUAAAAGCAAUGAUUAGUCUGCGGGUCCCAUUGCAC